UUUCCCUUUUUUUUUUCCCCUCGCAGGCGGAUAAACACGACUGCUUUACCUACCAACCGACUGCCUGACACGGCUCUUACGCAACAGCCGACGGAUACCUUUUGAAUAUCAUUUCAUCUACCAGUUUAUUACGAUCGUUGAGGACCCAAGUGCAGACUGGACAAUGGCAAGAUCAUUUGAAGUGACCUUUAAUGAAAUAACCAUGGGGGAAAAAAAGACUUUGAGAACUGUGGGUGAUAAGCAGGAAGAACCAAUGAUGGAAAAACAUGCAAGAUGCCAGGAGGGAACAGAGGAAUCCAACCACUGACUGAAAUAAGCAGCAGUAUAAAUUAAAGAGAAUGGUGAUGGUGUUCAAAAGGUUGUACAACAAAAGAGCAAAACAAAUAGGAAAACUUACAUUGGCAGGUUGUUUUAUAGGUGAUAAAACUACAUCUAAAGUGCAUUAGACUGAUUUUACUGAAAGGUCUGGCUAGUAGCUUGAAUGAGAUACUGUUGGUGCAGCAGCCACAAGGACAGUAAGAUGAGUCCAGGUCUGUGCAUGACACAAUACACUCACUCUGCUGUCCUACACCCCAUCCUGCGUGUGUAGAGAGGGAACAAACCACCUUGAGCCAAGCUGAUAGAGUUUCCUCAUGCUGCACUUUGGCUCAGCGCCACCCCGUCAUGCUGCGCUUGAGCGUUUCUCUGUUUUUACAAUAACUUCUACAUUUUCAUGUCUGGACAUGCCAACGGCUGCAGCUCAGCACCGAUUAAGCCCAAACACAUACAUCAUCUGACAUUGGCCGUGGGUGUAGAUUCACAGGAAUCAUUCUGAGCUACUAUAGUUCUCUGUGAAUUCUUGACUUUGAUCAAACCGUAUGGACCAUAGAGCUGAGUCCUGAAAUAACCUUUGUGGCUCAGAGGAUUGACUUAAGGCCAUUAAAUUACUACUGAGCAUGCACGGGUCACUGAACGCUGUUGGAUGGUAAUCACAUUAUUGCACAGAGAUUAUGACUAAUAUUAUAGCCUCUUAAUGAACACCACAUUGAAAUGGGUUGUAUGCAAGAAAUGACAGUUAAGUGGGACAAAUAAUGCGGAAGGCUUUUUUGUUUCACUUUUCCUUGUAAAGAAGGUGUAAUAUGAGACGGGUGUUGACAGCCGUUACAAGAUUGUAGUGCAACAAGAAAAAGGGAGCAGAUUCUAAUAAGAAGAAAAUUGUUUUGAUGAUAUAUUUAUAAAGUUUUAAUGAUUACAAAUUACAUUUUGAAAUGCAUGAUUAAAAGAAUGAUCCCCUUGUACUAUUUUAAAAAUAAAGCUACGUAUGUAGAAAAUACAAAAUGUGGUUUAUUUAAAGAGAUACCUUAUUUAAUACCAUAAUUUUUGCCACAGACUUUUAAUAAAUUGUAAAUUGUCCAAUCUUU